CGAGGAUUGUUGCAAUCUACGAUAGGGCCAACACCUACCAAAGGUGAGCCAGUUGAGCGAGCGGAGCAGGCUCUCAGAUAGAUGAGCUAUUAGUGUGCCCAUUUUGAGGGUUAGCCAGUUGAGCGAGCGGAGCAGGCUCGCAGAUAGAGGAGCUGUUAGUCUGCCCUUUUUAAGAGUGAGUUUUCGGGGUUCAAUUUUGUUAACCCUGGUAUUAGUAAGAGUAGUUUUUGAAAGUACAGUGAAGUAUGUAAU